CACAUCCUGAAUACCGUAGACAGGUCUGGUCACCCCCUUUCAAAAAUGAUGUAUUGGAAUUGGAAAAAGUACAAAGAAAGGCAAAUAAUAUUAGGAGUAUGGAACAGCUUCUAUCUGAGGAGAGAUUAAAGAGACUGGGACUGUUCAGCUUGGAAAAGAGAGCACUGUGCGGGGGGUGGGAUACGACAGAGAUCUAAGAAUCAUGACUGGGGUGCAGAAAGUGAAUCAGGAAGUGUUAUUUACCCCUCCCAUAACACAAACCAGGGGUCAUUCAAUGAAAUCAAUAGGCAGCAGGUUUAAAACAAACACAAGGAAGUAUUUCUUCACACACAGCACAGUCAGUCUGUGGAACUCAUUGCCAGGGGAUGUUGUGAAGGCCACAAGUAAAAACUGGAUUACAAAAAGAAUUCCCUAAAUUCCUGGCGGAUGGUCCAUCCAUGGCUAUUAGCCAAGAUGGGCAGGGACACAACUCAUGCGCUGGCUGUCCCUAAAUCUGACUGCCAGAAGCUGGGACUGGAGACAGGAUGGAGCACUCGAUAAAUUGCCCUGUUCUGUUCAUUCCCUCUGAUACAUCUGGCACCGCUCACUGUUAGAAGACAGACCACUGGGCUACUGGUCUGCCCCAGUGUGGCUGUUCUUACGUUGCGGGGAGGCUGGAACUGCCAGGGGGCUCCUGUCUCGUAAGCUAGCACAAGUGGAAAGUCUCCUGGGUGCUGGUUCCCCCAGGCUGGCCCUGUGGGCUGUGGAACCCUGGGACACCUCCCACCCAUCCCAGCUCCUGGGAGAACAGGAGCCCUGGCAGCCUCCCCACCCAUGUUCCCUGCCAGGAUCAGAGCAGCUCCAGCCUGAGGUCCUGCUGCAACCUGGGCAGUGCUGAGGUGCUGGCAGGGCUGCUGGGAGAGCACAGGCUCCCACCCAGGUGCCAGGGCAGGGCCCCUGAUAAGCAGCAGGCUCUUGUCUAUCAACAACUUCGCAGAGCACCCCAUCCAGCCCCUUAUCACAGGCCCCACAGGCAAGCGGCUUCCAGGAACUCUGAGCCCCACCCCUCUGCCAGGCCAGAGAACUGGCCAGCAAACAGGCACGCAGGCCACGUGCCCAGUGACACCCCAGAUGAGUGCCCCACAUGUUCUGCCCCAGAGUCCAGUGGAGGAACGCCUGCACUCAGCUGGGUUGGCAUCCCGCCAGCCACCCUCCCUCCCCCAAGGCAGAGUCUGGACACAUGGACACCUGCAUCCGUCCCUCUCCAACCUAGAUGCCACCAGCUAUCCGGGUGCUGAGUCCCUCUGCAAUAGCCAUGUGUUGCUCUGCACCAAGAACAGCCUUUACAUCCCUCAUUGGCUGUGCCUAGCUUGGCCCUGCCUCAGUGGCCCAAUGGCGGGGGGGAACCAGAGCAACCCCAGGGGCUGUGGUCUAAGCACACAAGCUCGGUUCUCAGGGCUGCUGAGCCUGCAGCUUCCCCAGGCAGUUUCAGGGGCACACCAGGGAAAUGAGCCAUGCCUGGCUGGGGGCAGGGGCGUGGCUGGGUCAGGACGGGGUCCCAGGGAGGCACUGCAUGUGUAGCGCUGUCACAGGGUGGAGCAGGUGCCAAUGCCUAGACCUGCGGGGAUGGGAGCCACCCACGGCAGGGCUGUCUCACCUCUGUGGGUCUGGGAUGCCCAUGGUCGGGGGCAGAGAUCGCGUCAGGCUGGGGGGGGGGGGCUUCGGGUUGUGCUGCACGUAGCCCACUAGUGAAUGGAGUUUCCUUUUGGGAAAAAGCAAGACCAGUUGGAAGCUGACAACCUCUGAGCUAUGGGCCAGCAGGAAUCUCUGGUUCCUGGUCAGAGCCAUGGUCAGGGCCCAGCUUUGUAGCCCUGGUCUGGUGGUUUGGUGGCCCACACAUGCAAGGAGUUUAGUGGGCCUUAGCCCAGCUCCUAGCAGAUGGGGUGCCCUGGCAUGAACACCAUGGCUCUAAUCAGCCCUAACUAGAGCUGGGUCCUGUUCUUGGCAGGUUGGGCAGAAAGUGGCCCCUGGGGCAUGAGCACCCUGGCCCUAGCGCUCCUCUCUCCAGGAUACGUUAGUGGAGUGGGGAGAAGAACUGCUCCUGCUGCUCAGCUUGCAGGGCCCCUCCUGCUGGUGCCCAAGUCCCCCCGCUCUUGCGGUGUGCGAAUGUGUGCGCUAAGCCUGGAGCAGGUGCCAGGCCUGUGGGGUGGCCAUGGGCGCUGCUGGUGCUUGGGCUGGGCUCCUUUUGACGGCACAGUCCUGGGGAAUGUGCGUAAUGACACCCCAAGUUCUGGUGUAGCUCUCACAGGCCAUUUCCAAAUGGGAAGAACUGGCCCCUGCAUCCAGGCCCUGCCAGUGCUUCUCUGACCCAGGGGAGCCAGGUGGGGGGCAGUGCUACUGGGCCAGCUGGUUGGUCUGGGGGUUGUGACCAUGUGCAGGGGGCUUUCGCCCCAGGGGAGCAGGCAGGGUGCUAGCUCCACACCAAGCAGCCAGGAGCCCAGGAAGCAGACUCAGUCGCUGUCCCCAAAGCUCUGUCAUUUCCUGACACUCCCUAGCACUGGGCAGACUCUUGGCUGCUGCAGCUGCACCAAAGCCAGGCAGGAAAGGGUUAAAAGGGGGAGGGCCUGAUAUGAGCAGCUACUUGAUAUGCAAAUGAGGCCACAGUAGGUAUUAUAAGUGACUCGCUGGAGGAGCUGGCUCUGGGGUGGAAAAAGGAGCUCACUCCUCCUGGCCUGGUCUGGCCCAGCCCGGUUCCCUUUUCCAGCCCAGGCAGCAAGAGUGUCCACCCGCCGUGGGGGCUCUGGGCAGGAUAUCAUCGUAUACUGGUGGGGGGCAGCGAGUUUCCCCUUCUGGAGUGGGACUGAGCACACGAGGAGAAACCUGCCCGGGAACUCUGUUCUUCUCUCCUAGAAGCUGCACCCAGCGUCUCUGUCUGCCAUGGUGCUGGCUACAGGCCUGCAGCGAGGACCAGCAAUCCAGGCAAUUAAUUUAGCUGCUUGGGGGUGGGGGGGAAGAGAGGGUGGUAGAAAAAAUUACUCAUCAGCCUGCUCCCCUCUAGUGAGGCACCCUGCUCCUGCCAUCUAGCCCCCCUGUUCUUCUGUUCCUGGCCUUCUCCUUCCUUACUCCACUGCCCUAUUGCGUAUCCUCAGCUUGACUACCGACAGGUAGGAGCUCUUGUGCUCUCCCCCAGCUCAGUACCCCCUCCCUCUCGGGUUUUGGGCACCUCACUCACCU